CCUACGGGAGGCAGCAGUGGGGAAUAUUGCACAAUGGGGGAAACCCUGAUGCAGCCAUGCCGCGUGUGUGAAGAAGGCCUUCGGGUUGUAAAGCACUUUCAGUUGUGAGGAAAAGUUAGUAGUUAAUACCUGCUAGCCGUGACGUUAACAACAGAAGAAGCACCGGCUAACUCCGUGCCAGCAGCCGCGGUAAUACGGAGGGUGCGAGCGUUAAUCGGAAUUACUGGGCGUAAAGCGCACGCAGGCGGUUUGUUAAGUUAGAUGUGAAAGCCCCGGGCUCAACCUGGGAUGGUCAUUUAGAACUGGCAGACUAGAGUCUUGGAGAGGGGAGUGGAAUUCCAGGUGUAGCGGUGAAAUGCGUAGAUAUCUGGAGGAACAUCAGUGGCGAAGGCGACUCCCUGGCCAAAGACUGACGCUCAUGUGCGAAAGUGUGGGUAGCGAACAGGAUUAGAUACCCUGGUAGUCCACACCGUGAACGCUGUCUACUAGCUGUGUGUGUCUUUAAGACGUGCGUAGCGAAGCUAACGCGCUAAGUAGACCGCCUGGGGAGUACGGCCGCAAGGUUAAAACUCAAAUGAAUUGACGGA
rnacentral:rRNA from 1 species